rnacentral:rRNA from 1 species
UACGUAGGUGGCAAGCGUUGUCCGGAUUUAUUGGGCGUAAAGCGCGCGCAGGCGGUCCUUUAAGUCUGAUGUGAAAUCUUGCGGCUCAACCGCAAGCGGUCAUUGGAAACUGGGGGACUUGAGUACAGAAGAGGAAAGUGGAAUUCCACGUGUAGCGGUGAAAUGCGUAGAGAUGUGGAGGAACACCAGUGGCGAAGGCGACUUCUGGUCUGUAACUGACGCUGAGGCGCGAAAGCGUGGGGAGCAAACAGG